rnacentral:rRNA from 1 species
UACGUAGGGCGCAAGCGUUAUCCGGAAUUAUUGGGCGUAAAGAGCUCGUAGGCGGUUUGUCGCGUCUGCUGUGAAAACCCGAGGCUCAACCUCGGGCCUGCAGUGGGUACGGGCAGACUAGAGUGCGGUAGGGGAGAUUGGAAUUCCUGGUGUAGCGGUGGAAUGCGCAGAUAUCAGGAGGAACACCAAUGGCGAAGGCAGAUCUCUGGGCCGUAACUGACGCUGAGGAGCGAAGCAUGGGGAGCGAACAGG